UUACUUCAGCAGCAAAUAUACUAAAAUUAGAACACAAAGGAGAAGAUCAGCAUGGGCCCUGUGCAAGGAUCAUAGAAAAUGCAUGAAGGGUUCCAUAUUUUU